CACGCCGUAAACGAUGAGUACUAGGUGUGGGAGGUAUCGACCCCUUCCGUGCCGGAGUUAACGCAAUAAGUACCCCGCCUGGGGACUACGAUCGCAAGAUUGAAACUCAAAGGAAUUGACGGGGGCCCGCACAAGCGGUGGAGUAUGUGGUUUAAUUCGACGCAACGCGAAGAACCUUACCAAGGCUUGACAUUGAGUGAAAGGCUAAGAGAUUAGCCCCUCUCUUCGGAGACACGAAAACAGGUGG
rnacentral:rRNA from 1 species